rnacentral:rRNA from 1 species
UACGUAGGGGGCAAGCGUUGUCCGGAAUUAUUGGGCGUAAAGCGCGCGCAGGCGGUCAUUUACGUCUGGUGUUUAAUCCCGGGGCUCAACCCCGGAUCGCACUGGAAACUGGGUGACUUGAGUGCAGAAGAGGAGAGUGGAAUUCCACGUGUAGCGGUGAAAUGCGUAGAUAUGUGGAGGAACACCAGUGGCGAAGGCGACUCUCUGGGUUGUAACUGACGCUGAGGCGCGAAAGCGUGGGGAGCAAACAGG